GCCUAAAUAGCUCAGACGAGAGAGCGCUAGGCUAUAAAUCGAACAGUCCCUGGUUCGAUCCCGUGUUUCGAGU
rnacentral:tRNA from 1 species